GGGCAGGUAGCUCAGUUGGUAGAGCCCAGGACUGAAAAUCCUGGUGUCGGCGGUUCAAUCCCGUCCCUGCCCACCA
rnacentral:tRNA from 1 species